rnacentral:rRNA from 1 species
UACGUAGGUGGCAAGCGUUGUCCGGAUUAUUGGGCGUAAAGGGCGCGCAGGCGGUCCGUUUAGUCCGAGGUGAAAUCUCCUGGCUCAACUGGGAGCGGUCUUUGGAUACUGGCGGGCUUGAGGUGAGCAGAGGUGAGUGGAAUUCUGGGUGUAGUGGUGAAAUGCGUAGAUAUCCAGAGGAACACCAGUGGCGAAGGCGACUCACUGGGCUCCACCUGACGCUGAGGCGCGAAAGCGUGGGUAGCGAACCGG